rnacentral:rRNA from 1 species
UACGGAGGGUGCAAGCGUUAUCCGGAUUCACUGGGUUUAAAGGGUGCGUAGGUGGGAAUGUAAGUCAGUGGUGAAAUCUCCGUGCUUAACAUGGAAACUGCCAUUGAUACUAUGUUUCUUGAAUUUUCUGGAGGUUAGCGGAAUAUGUCAUGUAGCGGUGAAAUGCUUAGAUAUGACAUAGAACACCAAUUGCGAAGGCAGCUGGCUACACGAAUAUUGACACUGAUGCACGAAAGCGUGGGGAUCAAACAGG